GACGUAGGGCGCGAGCGUUGUCCGGAUUUAUUGGGCGUAAAGAGCUCGUAGGCGGCUUGUUGCGUCAGCUGUGAAAACCCGCAGCUCAACUGUGGGCUUGCAGCUGAUACGGGCAGGCUUGAGUUCGGUAGGGGAGACUGGAAUUCCUGGUGUAGCGGUGAAAUGCGCAGAGAUCAGGAGGAACACCCAUGGCGAAGGCAGCACUCUGGACCGGACCUGACGCUGAGACGCGAAAGCGUGGGGAGCGAACGGG
rnacentral:rRNA from 1 species